AAUACGUCGUAAAUGGUACGGAACCCUUCAUGGGCGAGCCUCGCGACUCGCACUUGGCCGCUUUAUUUGAAUAUUGUGAAACGCCAACGAUGACUUUAUUCGUCAGAUAAGUGGCAAGUAGCUUAUUCAGGACUUUACUUGGACAUUGUGAAACAGGCCCCAAAUGUCUUACACAAUCAUUUAUUUUUUGCUUGAAUGAAAUCAUCGUUGAUGACAAAAGAAAUUAAAUAAAAACAUUUAGGUACUAAAGAAUUUUCAGUUUAUUUACAGAAACAUUUUCGUUUUAAUAAUAUAAUAUAAAAAUACAGUAAUCAGUAUUCAAUGUGUCAAAGCCUAGUCAAAGGUCCCACUUUGUCGCUUACCACAAGGACGAGAUUUGCUUGAUUUUUAUACGAAUAACCUAACAAAGCGUUCUUAUGGCAAGCGACAAAGUGCAGACUUUUUGCUUGGAAAUUACAUAAAUAUCCUUAUUCUAAAGCGUUAUAGGGAUUUAAGGGACACAUACUUAUAGUUAACCAACCAAACACAAUGAUCAAUCGAUCUAUAAUGUUUGACAAAUCAGUAAAAACGACAAAUGUCAAAAAUAUUGUGGAGAAACUUUUUACUGACAAAGUUAACAGGCUCCUAAAUUUGCAAAUACUGUUGAUCUGCCAAUUCUUCAAUGCGGGCACAGAAACGAAGACGAAAUUGAAAUCGAUGUGAAGGUAGGUAGCUCUUUAUAUCUUGAAGAAUGAAGGCCAGGUGGAAAUGGAUAUGUAAAAUGCUUUUCAAAACUUGCA